GUGCAAGCUAAGCUGGAGAAUGCCGAGGUGCUGGAGCUGACGGUGCAGCCUGUGCUGCGGGAGUGCUGCGGGGCAGGGCUUGUGGGCGCGAGCAGCUGCAGGCAGAAGCCAGCGAGCACUUCGCUGCUGGCUACAUCCAGUGAACCCCCUGCUUGAGUCCAUACCACUGCAAAAGGGCAGCGGCUUCUGGGAUUUGCUAGGGGACCCUCUGGCCGAGCCCCUGGGAGACCCUAGGAGGAGCAGCUGGCUCACAGGAGGGGCUGAUAUCCCCUUCUAGUGCACUCCCUUGAAAGAGGCCUGGUUGCUGCUCUGCCACGAAGGAAACUGGUAGAAAGGCAAGAAAGCAGGGACCUAAGGGUUAACAAAAGGGCACUCUCCCUGGACCUGGGAGCCAUCAGGACUUUGAAAUUCUCCAAGAGAGGAGGAAUCUGACUCAGAGACUGGCCCAAACCUCAUUGGAUUAGGAGAACCAGAGGCUGCAUAUUGAACUUAUAGACUGCAGUUUGCUGGGCAGAGGUCCAAGCCCAGUUAUGUAGGGGUUAAGCUACCUGUGUACAGCAAAACAACUUUCUCCUGUGCCAGAAUACAUUUUAAGAAAAUUGAAUGCAUGAUAGACCAGUAAGCUGGGACAAGUAGAAUAGGGAAACUGAGCAGAAAUCCUAUCUUCCCUAAACGAAGGUUAAAUCGUUUAUGUCAAUCUGAUUAGUGUCAUUUGUUGCCCACACCCAGGGACAAAUGAAGUUAGAAAAUAAGCCUUAUUUUGAUUAGUUCUUUUAUUCAGGAGGAGCCAACCCGGUCCCUCCCUGCAACAUGAAUGAUAAAAUGUAUGUUAAGGAAUUUCAAAAUUGCUCAAACCUUGCUGCCUUGGGUCCAGUUCUGCGUGUGUAAGAAGGGACAGAGUAAAGUUUAGUAGCAGGAGUGAAGAGGCAGGCAGGGCAGAAGCAGGCCAGAAGAAGCUGGCAAGGCCAUCCAAACCACCCAGCCACUAUUGGCCAGAGCCGCCUGAGGCAGACCUCCUCGGACUGGCAACAGCUGACUCUGACUAGGACAGACUGGGCUUUUUCCAACUGGGCCCCCAUGAGCCGAUGGUCAAAAUGAAGAUUGGGGGCCAGACUGUGAACUUUAAACCACUUUUGCCCCAGAUGGCUCAGCACAGACUUGCCUAGGUGAAGAGACUUCUCCAAUAAUCCUGUCCUUAGCAGUGCUGAGAGAGGAAGAAUGGAGACUUUAUACACCCCAGCCAAAGGCCUCCACAUCUGUUCUUGUCAAGCCCCCAUAAGGGGACUUGGGCAGUGUUCCUGUUAUCUGUCAAAGUUCCCAAGACUGUAAAAGUACUUGUUCAUUGAAAAGGUAUAAAUGUAAAUGUUUAUUUGAUAUUUAUAUAUCUACUUAGGUAUAAAUAUUUGUAGAUAAAUAAAACCCCUGGUUAGUUUCCUGGUGUGUUCUGGAGCAGCCCAUUCAGUCUUGACAGAGCCAAUGGGACCAGUAACAUCUAAGAAGACACCAGUUCUAAGAGCCACCAGACAAACAGCCUUUUUCCUUGGACAUCAAAGAGGACUGUGGACCUCAGAAAGAACAUGGUAACUCAUUCGUUUCUAGUCAUGCCAGAAUGCCUGUACCCCUUACUUGGACGUGAUCUCUUACAGAAAUUACAAGCCGCCCAUAAGCUUGUUCGAGAUGCCCUGCCAGUGCCACCUCGGCCUCUGUACAUCCUUUCCAGUCUGGGGACUCGGUGUGGGUAAAGAAGUUCACGACCCCAGGGCUCACCCCAACUUGAAAAGGACUAUACCUGCAGAAAAUUGUAUAAUACACUCAGAUGAUGCCUGCAUCUUCAUAGACAUGGCUUCAGAAAGACAAGGACAAUUUUACCUUAUAUAGAAAGGUCAAAGAGUGGACUUUAGUCACCUCCCUAAAAUGUUUUUAUAGCCCUGCCAUAUCUCAUGUUUAGUAGUGGAGGAUUUGGCUGCCUGAAGUGGUCAUGAUGGCAAUAUUAUGUUUCAUUGUAUUGAUAUGUUGUAUUAACCUUCAAUUCUCUUACAGGUUUAAAUGUAGCUGUAACUGGCAAAUGUCCAGUCUCCCACACCGAGGAACAUUGCUAUAGCUAUGUGUUAGCUGUCCUGGAAGGGGAGUAUGUGGGGUGAACUCUAAAAGUAAAGGGUGUCUAGCUGCCAAGAGGGCAGGUGCCCAACUGGGCAAAGGAGAAUACCCAUCAGGUUUUAGUCUCUAUCGAGAGAUGGUUGACAGUUGGCAGCCUGUAUACUGUCUUGCAGGCCUGUGUGACCAUGCCCAUGUCAGAGGUGGCACAAAACCUCAACUGUAGAAAACUGGGAAAAGCCUGUUUGGAAUAGAAGGUCUGAGGCAUGGUUAUGCAUUUUUAAAGAACAUAGAAAGAAGGUUUAAAGGCUGGUUUGAAAAUAUGAAAUUUAUAAAGGUUGUGUACGUGAUAAGAAGAAAAAGAGAAAUGUUAAAAGGAAAUGAAUCAAAUGGUACAGGCCAGAAAGUCAGAAAGAGUAAAUAACUUACAUUCUGCCUCACUAAACAGAGGGUAAAUAGUUAUGCCAAAGUACUUAGGGAGGACUGAUAAAAGAAAUCCAACAGUUACUGUUUUGUUAUAACUCUGAAGAGUCCAUGAAAAAGGACUGACAAGAAAAAUCAGAAGAUCUUAGAGCAGAUCAGUAUGUUUUUCUCCUUAUAGAAUUCCUCUGAAAUUUGGCAAUGCUAAAUAAGUCACGGCAAUACAUUUCUUUGCAUGAAAUCAAUAAGACCGGUUUUCAAUAGUGAUUUUAUUAACCGUAAACUUUGACUGGAGUAUCAUGUUUUAAAGAAACCUAUCUGAGCUCUGAAGACUUGAAGCCAAUAAAAGUGCCACAGGAAAAGCCUAGUAUCCUGCUUGGGAGCCCUGAAGAUGGCUGGCGCUGGAGCAUCAGGCCCAAGCCCUACCAUCACUGGCGGUUGGUAAGAGUAGAAGGGGAGCAAUAAGGAUGCCCUCUGCAUCCCUGCGGAACCCCCACACACUCUGGGCCGCAACGAGUAGGAGGGCUACUGAGAUGGGCCUUAAAGCCUAGAGCGUGAGCUCAGGUGGAGUUGCUACAGGUGAGGGAUUCACCUAACGCAGCAGACACUGCAGGCAGGCCUGAUGGCAGCUUGGAUGGCUUGGCUUCCUGGCCCUACAGGGCACAUUAAGAUUCAGUCAUGAAAUUCCAGCAAAGAUAGUCAGUUACCAUUCUUGUUGUGUUUAUGCAAACAUCAGGCCAAAUUGAAUACAGUAGAUAAAUUAGUCUUGAUUUGGCUUUUUGAUAGCCAUAGAGGAAUUUUAAGAAGAAAACUCCUAUUUCAAUAGAAGUUGUUAAAGCUAAAAAGGUUUCUUUUCCUUCCACCAAACCGUUUGUUAUAGUUUGUCUCUGCCAGGUCACAAGCACAGCUCCUUCUGUGCCCAGGACAGCAGGGAGCCUGAGUGGAAGGUGACCUCUAACCAGACACACGCACUGCAGAUCACCUUCAAGAAGACAGCGGACCUUGGCGGACCCCUUGUAAUCCUCCUGAUGCUGUUGACUUUCGGCCCUUGCAUUAUUAACAGACUAGUCUAAUUUAUCAAAGAAGCUUAUAGGGGUAGUUCAUUUGAUAGUUCUACGCGCCCAAUACAGGCCUCUAGCAAUGGUGAAAUAGAAAUGCAGUCCGUCUCAUGAUUGAGCCAGAAGUUCCAAGACAAGGGGGGAAUGAAGGGACCGAAUGGAACUAAUAGCUGUGUCCCUAAUGAAAGGACAGAACGGAACUGAUAUUACUCAGCCUGCCCUUAUCUCAGCCAAUGGGAAAGCAAGGGAAACUAGCCCCCGGCCCUCACUCAACCAACCGGAAUCGACCAAGUGCCUCCACCCCUCUCCCCAAGCCCUAUAAAUUCUUUGUUCUCUUGGGACUCGGGGCUCUCUCUCGCAUCCAGUCACGGAGGUAGAGGGGGACCAAGCCCGGGCUUGAAUAAAAGGACUCUUUGCUUUUGCAUCGGA